AAUCAGUUGGCGGAGCGGCGCGUGCGCGGGCGAGGAACUGCCCGGGCGCGGUAGCGUACGGGAAGACCGGAGAGGAGCUGCGUCUCUGCCCCGUGGGAGCCGGCGGGGCGGCGGGGCGGCGGCUGCAGCUGCAGCUCCGGCGCGAGGGCUCCCUUGCCGGGCCCUCUUCCCCGACCCCUGGGGCGCUCCGACAAGGAAGAGCCGUCCAGCGCGCGUCCGUCCUGAGCGUGGGUGAGGCCUGGAGGAGGCGCGCGCGCUAGGCAGGGCCGCACAGCGCGGGCAGAGUGCGGGAUGCGGGCACCCGGCCUAGAACCAAUUACAGAGUCAAACCCAAGAGCCGAAGAAAGUGAAGACUCGCAGCUUGCCGCAGCCCCCUCCUCGGCCUGCGCACCUCCCAUUGAGGGCGUCCUGAUUUAAACGCGUGCCUCCUGCAUUUCUGCUUCUGCCCCAGGCUAGAGCGGCGACCAGGAACGCUGGACCCACAGAGAUCUGUGGCAAUGUCUGUCGAACCAUGGUGUUCUUUGGGGCAUCUGACUAGAGUAUUGUUUGAUAACCAGAAAGAAAUCAAAAAUUGGUGAUCACAAGGCUAAUGUCACUUUUGCUGCAGUGGAAAAUCAUGAUCAUUCUGUUUAAAUCUGAGUCAGUUUUGAGACCUAGAGCCCAUUAAUUGACAAGGAGGCUUGGUUCCUCUCAGGAAGGAUCUUACAAUACCAGCAUCUGAGCAUAUACCAAGAAAUAUUCCUCCAAUCCUUCCCUAAAGGGACCUAGAGCCACUUUAAAAAGUAACUGGUCCGGGCGUGGUGGCUCACGCCUGUACUCCCAGCAUUUUGGGAGGCCGAGGCGGGCAGAUCACUUGAGGUCAGGAGUUUGAGACCACCCUGGCCAACAUAGCGAAACCCCGUCGCUACUAAAAAUACAAAAAUUAGCCGGGUUUGGUGGCUUGUGCCUGUAAUCCCAGCUACACGGGAGGCUGAGGCGUGACAAUCCCUUGAACCCAGGCCUUGUUGCCGCGAGCCACUGCACUCCAGCCUGAGCGACAGAGUCAGACUCAGUCUCAAAAAAAAAAAAAAAAAAAAGAAAACUGAUUCUGGCUGGGGGCAGUGGGUCACGCUUUUAAUCCCUGCACUUUGGGAAGCCGAAGUAGGAGGAUCGUUUGAGCCCAGGAGUUUGAGACCAGCCUGGGCAACAUAGCAAGAACCUGUCUUUACAAAAAUUAAAAGAUUAGCUGGGCGUGGUGGCAGGUGCCUGUGGUUCCAGCUACUCUGGAUGCUGAGGUGAGAGAAUCACUUAAGCCCAGGAGGUCAAGGCUGCAGUGACCUGUGUUCACGCCACUGCACUCCAGCCUGAGCAACACAGCAAGACUGUCUGAACAGCAACAACAAACACACCAAAAAAACUAGUUUACUUCGGAAAAGGGACUGUCUAGGUCUUUGAAGGGCUGAUACAGGAUCUGAGCUGACACUGUUUCCAGGAGCCCUGAAGCAUCAUGGCCCUCUCAUUAGGGUGCAGGCUUAUGGAAAUCAGAUGAUAAGCAGAAUUCCCAACCCGAGUCCUGUGGUUACUUCUCUGGUCUCAAUGCAUACUUGGGAUGUUUUUACCUAGCAGAGGGCGGAGCGUAUACAUUGAUCCCAGGCCUUUGGUACCAUAUGUAAGGAAGCGCAAAGUAGAAACCUUUGAAACUCCUCACCCUACUGAAACCUUUCCAAGAUAGUAAGUCAGAAACAAUGCUGCAUUCCAGGUGUAAUUGCAGAGGUAUUUCGCCCUCAAAGACUUAUAAAGCAGUGGUUACCGUUUCAUCCCUUCAAUUAACCUGAAUGGCUCCUGCUAAAUCUUGGUGGAUUCAAGUAAAUGAUGAUGCCCUGCACAAACUUAGCCAAGUCGUGUCCCCGAUCACACAGCUGUGCUAGGUGUGGUAUCUUUACUGGAACCGAUAAAUGCACCUCUGGCUCUUGAUAAUGCAAUUAUUGACUUGGUGAACAUUCUUUUCAAUUGCCAGUGGUAAAGAGGAUUAAAAGCAGUUCACAUUUAUAUGGGAAGGACAGCUCUGUAAAUGGUCUUGCUUCUUGCUGUCUGAACUCUCCUGUUCUCUGUCACAAUAGUCCUUAGGUAGCUUAUCAUCUAUAUUCCAUAUAACAUUGAUGAUGUCAUACUAGUUGGACAUGGUGAAGAAGGCCGUGCAUGUCAGAGGAUGAGCGAGAAGCCCUCAGAAGUUCUGGAGCCUGCCAUAUCAGUGACAUUCUCAGGGGUGCAGCGUUUGAGGGCAAGCCAGGGACAAGUUAUUGCAUCCUGCAUCCUUACAAGGAAGAAAGAGGCACAGCAUUGAGGCACCUCUGUGUUUUGGAGUCAGCAUGCACCGCGCUAGAGGAUACCUCUCUGACCCCUUUAUUGGGUAACGGGAAAACUGCCAGCUUUGAGUGGGGCCCAGAGAAAAAGAGGGCUCUGCUAAAGAUUUGGAUUGGGAGAUGGGCUUCCCUGCUGCAUAGAUCCAAUGGGUUACCGGGGGGCUUAUUUGGGGUAGGAAGGACCCUAUAUGGCAUCUCUGGCAAACUCCAACGGAAGAGUUGCAGUACACUGUCCUAGAGUUCUUGGACAAGACCAUGCCUUCUGCAGCAGAGAACUACUCGCCAAGUGAGAGCAGUAUCAGGCACACUACCAGACCCAGGUAGAGACCGAGCACCUGCUGGUGGGACAUCAGCGACCAUGCGACAGGGUCUGCCCAAGCGAGGUGUUGUCAGAUCCUCCAAGUCAGUAGGUCAGAGGCUCAGUAGCAAUUGAUGGUACAAUGAAAAAGGAAGCCUUGGGCUUGGACCCAAGCGUGUCUAGUGGGUAACAGUUAUUUACAGGAAGAGGUGGCAGUGUGGCCCCACAUCUGCUUUGCACUGAUAUUUCUCCCUUAGCAGAUAAGCAUUCUGGUCUGGUUCGUAUAUAGGUCAGUUUGAUGUGUUGAUAUGAACUGAAAAUGAACCAUAGGUACACUACAGUCCCAUUCAAGGUGACCCUAAAGGACGACAAUAGGAAAUCCUCCAUGGGGCUGAGCUUCCAGCAGUUCGUGUGGAUAUCCACUUUGUAUGGAGGCAGUGGACAGAGUAGUGGCCUGAGGGAGGGACGCAUAUGGACUUCUGGGUUGUGACGUCCUGCUGGCUGGUCAGGGACCUGAAAAGAGCAAGAGGGGAAGAUGGACCUACAGGAGUGGCCACACAAUAUGUGCAUCUCUCUGCCUUGUGUUAAUACUGCAGAGGAGUUGGUGAACAGCAGGAUGGAUGGGAUGUCAGUCAGCUGUGCCCCUGGCUACCCCUGUGCUUGAACAGUGGACUGUGAGUGGCGGCGUCAUGCAGAAGGAGCACAGGGUCCCAGGCCAGCAUCACUAUCCAGGAGCUUCAGGCAUGCUCCGUGUACCAACAUGGGAUCACGAAUCACAUCGCCUCAGGCCAAGAAAGCCAUUUUAUAGCGAAAGAGCCUUAGGAUCUGCUGGAUUAGAGCCUGUUUCCCAGGUAGGAACGCUUCCACGAGGGCACUCCUGCUGGUUGCAGGAAGGAUACCUCUGCUGAGCCUGAAUCUGCAAAGACCACCAGGUUACUCUCAGCUCCUCAUACUGGUGGACCAGCAGGCCACAAAGGAGGGGAUACUUGAUCCUGAUAAACGGUUAUGCUUGUUUGCUGAUGGAAAUGAUCCAGAAGAGAAGGACAAGUUGACGAUUGAGAGGGUUAAUGUCAGGAGAAGGAGUCUGGAAGGACGCUGACAACGGGUGGUGGUCAGGAAGGAAAACCCAGUGCCUGUGGCCCAGAGGCUGGAGGAGGAACUUCAAGGAGGGAUGUUCAGCUCCCUGUGGACCCCCAUUUGUUCAUCCAUACAAUGAUGCUCUGAGGAGCACACAAGGAAGGUGCAAAUUUGAUAAAAUGUGCAUGAUGUAAGGAGCAUAAACCCCCUCAGGAAAGAGUUGCUGCCUUUUCACUAAUGUAUCCCUGAGCUGCACAGAGCAGCCCUGGGGGACUGGGAGGACAUGUCCCCGGUGUGAGGAGCAGGGGAAAGGUGAGCCUUAAAUGAUCACCAACAAACAACAGGGCCUGUGUCUGGGGCUUACACCACGACAUGUGGUCCUCGCAGCACCAUUGCUCAGAGGAAGAAACCAAGAUCUCGAGGAACUGAGUAAUUUGCCCACGUUCAACAAGUUGGUGCAAAAUGAAGAGUGGCUCCCGUAUUUCAGACUUUAAGGCCGACGAUCUUCCAUCUGUGCUCUGGGGGCAAGAUGGGAGGUCCACAGAUAAAAUUGCGGGCGGUAUCCCCCAUCUCAUGGUCUUUACGCUCAUGGGACCUGGGAGUGACCAUCUUUUAAGAGGGAGGGAAGGAAGGGGAGAGGCUUGAGGAAGGUUUUGGGGAUUAGGAUCUAAGAUGAAAUUUGAGACUAUAAGACUUCAGAUUGGAUGCUGUGGCUCAUGCCUGUCAUCUCAGCACUCUGGGAGGCCAUCACCUGGGCUUGGGCCCAGGAGUUUAAGACCAACCUGGGUAACAUAGUGAGACCCUGUUUUUACAAAAACAAACAAAAUGCCAGGUAUGGUAGUGUGCACCUGUGGUCCUAGCUACUCAGAAGGCUGAGGCAGGGGGAUUCCUUGAGCCCAGGAGUUUGAGGCUACAGUGAGCUAGGGACACACCACUGCACUCCAGCCUGGGUGACAGAGUGAGACCCUGUCUCAAAAAAAAAAAAAAAAAAAAAGAUUUUAAGCUUGCUGCAAUUCCAGAUGAAGGUAGAUCCUGGAGGCACUUUGUGGGAGAGGUCACUACACUUGAGUAUUAAAGACUGUUGACAGAUCAGAAAU
rnacentral:lncRNA from 1 species